AUGAGGUUCCCUGCUCAGCUCCUGGGGCUCCUCCUGCUCUGGGUCCCAGGAUCCAGUGGGGCCAUCGUGUUGACCCAGUCUCCACUCUCCCUGUCAGUCAGCCCUGGAGAGCCUGCCUCUAUCUCCUGCAGGUCCAGUCAGAGCCUCCUACACAGUGAUGGAGCCUCUCUAUUGUAUUGGUACCAGCAGAAACCAGGCCAGUCUCCAAGGCUCCUGAUCUAUUAUGCUACCAACAGGGCCACUGGGGUCCCGGACAGGUUCACUGGCAGUGGAUCAGGGACAGAUUUCACCCUCAAAAUCAGCAGGGUGGAGGCUGAGGAUGUGGGAGUUUAUUACUGCCAGCAAAUUAUACACUCUCCUCCCACAGUGAUACAGCCCUUAGCAAAAACCCCUCUUCUGUGGGCCCAGCUGCACACAUGUGUGAGUUGUCUGGGGAGCAGAGGGGCAGAAGCUCUGAGUCUGUGUAAGAGGCAGAAGAGAGAGAACCAGCAGCAGAGGGUGCAGCUGAGGCCUGUGGACCAGCAGAGCCUCAGCUCCUCCUCAGACCCCACAUGUUAAGGCCCCAUAAGCUCAUGGCCUUGGUGUGAUGUCCCCUUAGAAACAGGCCAGUGAGAGAAGUUCACUUCUGGGACAACCACAGCUCAGCUGAGUUCCCUUUUUACAGAUCAGAAUUUCUGCCUGGACCAAGUGAGAACUUAAUCAGAUGCAACUUUGGAAAUAAUAAAGAAUAGCUUGGGGGGUGGGGGGAUG